GUCUGGCUGCACACUGCACAGAUUGUGUUGCAGGAUCAGAGCCCCAGACAGUCCCUGCCCGGAGGAUAGUAAGGACAUUUACAAAAAGGUAGUGAAGAAAAGCUUAGAGACAUGAACCCAAGGUAACUGAUGCAGCAAUGUCUGCCUGAGUCUGCAGACAGCCUGAAACACCACCACUAAGAGGGAUGAACUGUACCAUUCAACUCAGUGUUAACGCCAAGAGCCACUGCCCUGUGUGGCUCUGCUAACACCAAUCCAGCGGAGGACUGUGUGACAGGAUGAGAAGAGUGCAGCAGGCCUUGCCCACUUGUCCUGUAGCUGGGAUAUAGCUCCUAGGGUGCUGAUACAUUACAUGUUACCAAAGUCAGGCCUCAGCUGAAAAAAUGUGAUGAUAGUGUGUUUGCAUUUGGUAUUUGACCCUGAAGCCUGUUGGAACCAGGGAGAUCAUCUUUGGACACAGCCAUUACACUGAAUAUGAAGUGGGCAAUAUGAGCCUGAUUAUUUCUAUCCCUCAUGAUGAAACAGUGAAACCUGAAGACAUUCCUGACUGAGAUGCUGGUUGCUGGGAUUCAAACACAUUAUCUUGUAUUUUCUCUCAGAAUUGUUCUCCAGGAAACAUUCAAGACUUUCAGAAAUGCAAGGUGGAUACAAAUCAGGACAGGAAUAGAGAUUGAUUGUUCAGACUCUUGCUAAAGAAAUUAGAAGCCUUAAUGAUAGUUUCUCCCCAUAUCUUUUUAUAAAUCAUCUCCAGAGGAUUAAGAUGGAUGCCAACAGGGAAAAGGAAGAGGCAGCCUUUGGAAUUCCCCAAGCAGAAAAAGCCUGGGAAGACUUUAUAAAGUUUGAGAUCAGUAAAAUCACAGAUAAUAGGAGGCCUUAUUGUAGAUAUCCAUGGACAAAUGCACCCUGAGCAAUGGAUAGAACUAGGUUUCACCCUUUUAAAAGUAUCACUCAACUCAGGGAAGUUUUCUGCAUCAGGCUCUUCUAUUCGCUAUCUUGCAAACCAGGCGCACAGUGUUUCUUUUGAGACUUUGCUCAGAGGAUCCAGAAGCUUGAGUAAAUUUAUUGAUGACCAGGACAACAACCAGUACCUUUGUGUUCCUUCUCCAACAAACCCCAAGCCAAAAACUGGGAAUUAUAAUGGAGGCUAUUGUCACGAAGACUUUUGGGUCUAGGUAUACUGGCAUGGUCAAUGCUAUUCAUAUUGAGCUGUCCCAAUGGGUGAGGAAUAUUAAAGAGUAUCCCAAGUUUUGUAAAGCAUUAGCAAGGGCUAUAAAAAAUUUCUGGCAGUAAAUCUCUGCAGCCAGAGAAACCAUAAGCUUCUAGGAAGCUAAAGGAAACAGAUGUGUGUUAGCAUGGCUACUUUGCAGAGUAGAACAGUUGGUCUGAUGCACAGGAAUAUGGAUUUCCAUUUGGCUUUAACAUGCUUGGACUUCUCUAGGAAUAAAGCAAUGAGGCAGUGAAGGAAAAGAUCUAGAAUGCAAACAAAUGCAAUUCCAAUGAUAAAAGGACAGUUAUCCGUACUGAAAACCUAUAACUAAUAGCAACAAACAAAUUACUAAACCAAUGCUCAUUAGUAGACCUCAUAAAAAAGAUUGGUAACUUCAGUGGUGCCCAGGCCAAACUGAGUGAGGGUAGCUGUAUUUCACCUACCUACUACAUCACUACUUUUUCUUGCUGAGAAAAUAUUUUUAGAUUCUGCAAUUUUGGUACCAUUCCUCCAAAUGACAUGGACCCUUCCUGAGACUGGUGCAUACGACUGUUCUACCUGAGUGGAGUGUAAGCAGAAUCCUGAGCUCAUUGAAAACCCUGGUGGAAGUUCCCUCUGGCUUCAAAGGGUACAGGAUCAAGCUUUUUGGUACAUGGGCUAAGAAUUCAAUGCCUACUGUCAUGAUGGUGGAACAGAGAGAGAAGCAAUUUUCUCCUUUCCGAUCUGUAGAGAGGAGGGUCUACAAUACAAUGAACUACAAUAUUCCUAAUAAAGAA